rnacentral:rRNA from 1 species
CGAACGCUGGCGGCGUGCCUAACACAUGCAAGUCGAACGAGGCCACUCCUUCGGGAGUGAGUCGAGUGGCGGACGGGUGAGUAACACGUGAGCAACCUAUCCUUGUGCGGGGGACAACCCGGGGAAACCCGGGCUAAUACCGCAUGGUCCGGAGCCUCGAGUGGGGCACCGGGGAAAGAUGGCCUCUUAACAAUGCUGUCGCGCAGGGAGGGGCUCGCGGGCUAUCAGCUAGUUGGUGGGGUAAUGGCCCACCAAGGCGGCGACGGCUACGAGGUCUGAGAGGACGACCCCGCACAUUGGAACUGAGACACGGUCCAGACUCCUACGGGAGGCAGCAGCAGGGAAUCUUGCGCAAUGGGCGAAAGCCUGACGCAGCAACGCCGCGUGUGGGAUGAAGGCCUUCGGGUUGUAAACCACUUUCAGGAGGGAAGAAAUUGACGGUACCUCCAAAAGAAGCCCCGGCCAACUACGUGCCAGCAGCCGCGGUAAUACGUAGGGGGCAAGCGUUAUCCGGAAUCAUUGGGCGUAAAGAGCUCGUAGGCGGUUCAGCAAGUCGGCUGUGAAAGUCCAAGGCUCAACCUUGGAACUGCAGUCGAUACUGCUGUGACUAGAGUCUGGUAGAGGAGAAUGGAAUUCCCGGUGUAGCGGUGGAAUGCGCAGAUAUCGGGAGGAACACCAGUAGCGAAGGCGGUUCUCUGGGCCUCGACUGACGCUGAGGAGCGAAAGCAUGGGUAGCAAACAGGAUUAGAUACCCUGGUAGUCCAUGCCGUAAACGUUGGAUACUAGGUGUGGCGUCCCGAUCAACGGAUGCCGUGCCGAAGCUAACGCAUUAAGUAUCCCGCCUGGGGAGUACGGCCGCAAGGCUAAAACUCAAAGGAAUUGACGGGUCCCCGCACAAGCGGCGGAGCAUGCGGCUUAAUUCGAUGCAACCCGAAGAACCUUACCUGGGUUUGACAUCACGGGAAAAGCUGCGGAAACGUAGUGUCCAUUAGGGCCCGUGACAGGUGGUGCAUGGCUGUCGUCAGCUCGUGUCGUGAGAUGUUGGGUUAAGUCCCGCAACGAGCGCAACCCUUGUCCUAUGUUGCCAGCACGUAAUGGUGGGGACUCAUGGGAGACUGCCGGGGAUAACUCGGAGGAAGGUGAGGACGACGUCAAGUCAUCAUGCCCCUUAUAUCCAGGGCUGCACGCAUGCUACAAUGGUCGGUACAACGGGCAGCGAACUCGCGAGAGUCAGCGAAUCCCUUAAAGCCGGCCUUAGUUCGGAUUGGAGUCUGCAACUCGACUCCAUGAAGUCGGAGUCGCUAGUAAUCGCGGAUCAGCAAAGCCGCGGUGAAUGCGUUCUCGGGGAUUGUACACACCGCCCGUCAAGUCACGGAAGUCGGCAACACCCAAAGUCAGUGGCCUAACCCUUCGGGGAGGGAGCUGCCUAAGGUGGGGUCGGUAACUGGGACUAAGUCGUAACAAGGUAAC